rnacentral:rRNA from 1 species
AUUGAACGCUGGCGGCAGGCCUAACACAUGCAAGUCGAACGAGUGGCGGACGGGUGAGUAAUGUCUGGGAAACUGCCUGAUGGAGGGGGAUAACUACUGGAAACGGUAGCUAAUACCGCAUACCAUCGGAUGUGCCCAGAUGGGAUUAGCUAGUAGGUGGGGUAACGGCUCACCUAGGCGCAGAUCCCUAGCUGGUCUGAGAGGAUGACCAGGCAAACUGGAACUGAGAAACGGGCCCGACUCCUAAGGGAGGCAGCAGGGGGGAAUAUUGCACAAUGGGCGCAAGCCUGAGUCAGCCAUGCCGCGGGUGUUAAGAAGGCCUUCGGGUUGUAAAGCACUUUCAGCGGGGAGGCGUUACCCGAAGAAGAAGCACCGGCUAACUCCGUGCCAGCAGCCGCGGUAAUAC